rnacentral:rRNA from 1 species
CUGCGAGUGAAGCGGCAAAAGCUCAAAUUUGAAAUCUGGCGUCACUUUGACGUUCGAGUUGUAAUUUGGAGGGGCAUCUUCGGGUCCGGUACCGUCUUAUGUUCCUUGGAACAGGACGUCAAAGAGGGUGAGAAUCCCGUGCUUGGGCGGAUAACCGGUCCUUUGUGAAGUGUCUCCGACGAGUCGAGUUGUUUGGGAAUGCAGCUCAAAAUGGGUGGUAAAUUUCAUCUAAAGCUAAAUAUUGGCGAGAGACCGAUAGCGCACAAGUAGAGUGAUCGAAAGAUGAAAAGCACUUUGAAAAGAGAGUUAAAAAGUACGUGAAAUUGUUGAAAGGGAAGCGCUUGAGAUCAAACUCAGUUGUUGGUGUACGACCGGGCUUCUGUCCGGAUUCAGUGCCAGCAAUUGGGUCAGCAUCGGUUUCAACGGUGGGAAAAACGGUAGGGAAAUGUGGCUCCUCUCGGGGAGUGUUAUAGGCCCGACCUGCAAUGCCACCUGUUGGGACCGAGGACCGCGCCUACNGGCUAGGAUGCUGGCAAAAAGGUCUUAAGCGACCCG